GCCAUUGUGGUGUAGUGGUUUGAACAUUGGAUUGAGACUCUGGAGACCAGGGUUUGAAUCCUGGCUUAGCCA